AGCAGCCGCGGUAAUUCCAGCUCCAGUAGCGUAUAUUAAAGUUGUUGCAGUUAAAAAGCUCGUAGUUGAAUUUCGGGAUCAAUAUAUCGGUCGUGCCAUUGGUACGUACUGGUAUCAUUGGUUUCUCCUUUCUGGCGAACCAUGAUGUCAUUAAUUUGGUGUUAUGGGAAGUUAGGACUGUUACUUUGAAAAAAUUAGAGUGUUUAAAGCAAGCUAACGCUUGAAUACAUUAGCAUGGAAUAAUGAAAUAGGACGUUCGAUCCUAUUUUGUUGGUUUCUAGGAUUGACGUAAUGAUUAAUAGGGAUAGUUGGGGGCAUUAGUAUUCAAUUGUCAGAGGUGAAAUUCUUGGAUUUAUUGAAGACUAACUACUGCGAAAGCAUUUGCCAAGGAUGUUUUCAUUAAUCAAGAACGAAAGUUAGGGGAUCGAAGACGAUCAGAUACCGUCGUAGUCUUAACCAUAAACUAUGCCGACUAGGGAUCGGAUGAUGUUAAUUUUUAAUGACUCAUUCGGCGCCUUAA
rnacentral:rRNA from 1 species